rnacentral:rRNA from 1 species
GAUGAACGCUAGCGGGAGGCCUAACACAUGCAAGCCGAGCGGUAUUUGUUCUUCGGAACAGAGAGAGCGGCGCACGGGUGCGGAACACGUGUGCAACCUGCCUUUAUCUGGGGGAUAGCCUUUCGAAAGGAAGAUUAAUACCCCAUAAUAUAUUGAGUGGCAUCAUUUGAUAUUGAAAACUCCGGUGGAUAGAGAUGGGCACGCGCAAGAUUAGCUAGUUGGUGAGGUAACGGCUCACCAAGUCAAUGAACUUUAGGGGGCCUGAGAGGGUGAUCCCCCACACUGGUACUGAGACACGGACCAGACUCCUACGGGAGGCAGCAGUGAGGAAUAUUAGACGAUGGGUUAGCGCCUGAUCCAGCCAUCCCGCGGGAAGGACGACGGCCCUAGGGGUUGUAAACUUCUUUUGUAUAGGGAUAAACCUACUCUCGUGAGAGUAGCUGAAGGUACUAUACGAAUAAGCACCGGCUAACUCCGUG